CAAGAGCGUAUAUUAAAGUUGUUGCAGUUAAAAAGCUCGUAGUUGGAUUUCUGGUACAAUGCGCCUGGCCCGCGACCGUUAGGUCUGUGAGUGCCGGUGCGCGUUUGCCAUCCUUCUAGAAAACGUUUCUACCCUUCACUGGGCCGGACUCGCGAUCUAGAUCUUUUACUUUGAAAAAAUUAGAGUGUUUAAAGCAGGCUUUUGCUGUGAAUACAUUAGCAUGGAAUAAUAAUCUAGGACUUCGGUUCUAUUUUGUUGGUUUCUAGUACUGAAGUAAUGAUUGAUAGGGGUAGUUGGGGGUGCUAGUAUUGGCCGGCCAGAGGUGAAAUUCUUGGAUUCGGUCAAGACUAACUUAUGCGAAAGCAUUAACCAAGGAUGUCUUCUUUAA
rnacentral:rRNA from 1 species